UUGAAAGGGAAACGAUUGAAGUCAGUCAUACCAACGGGAAAUCAACCUCUUGAGCUCGGUCUCGUGGGUUUUGAAGAGUUUCAAAGCCUUCGGAUUCGCGGGAUUGGGAUCUCCUGGCGUACUUUUUCGUACGGUUAGUCAACAUCGGUUUUGUAUGUCAUAAAAUGACUGGAGGAAUGUAGCUUCGAUCUUGUAUUGAAGUGUUAUAGCCUUUGGUAAAUGUGAUGAUUAGGAUCGAGGAUUGCAACGAAUACCCUUUUGGGCUAUCCGCCUGAUCUCUGAUACGUGGCCUUGGUAUCGAAAGCGUGCUUAUGGUAUUGAGGUAUUACGGUCAAAAGGUUAGAACGGAUNACAUUCGUUAAGGAUGUUGACGUA
rnacentral:rRNA from 1 species